CCUUCCUUCCUUAUUUCUUUUUCUUUCUUUUUCUUUUUGCCACCCCCAUGGCAUAUGGAAAUUCCUAGGCUAGGGAUGGAAUCCAAGCCACAGCCAUGACCUACGCCACAGCUGUGGCAAUACCAGCUCCUUAACCCACUGUGCCACAGUGGGAACUCCCUGUGGUUUCCACUUUUCGUCAAGAGUAUCACAAAACCAAACUUCAACCUUAUCUAUAAGACAAUUUAACAAUUAAACUGCUUUUGUAAUUCUACUCCUACACACAUGCCUGACAGGAAAGCAUUGUGUGUUCACCCAAAGAUAUGUACUGGAAUGUUCGACAGCAGUGCUAUUCAUAAUGGCAAGAAAACUGAAAACUACACAAAUAGACAAACAGUGGUAUAGUCACACAAUGGAAUAUUAUACAGCACUAAGAACAAAAAAUUGAUCAUUAUAUGCAACAAUAUGGAUGGAUUUCACAAACAUAUUAUUGAAUGGAAGAAGCCAGACACAAAAUGAUAUAUGAUUCCAUCUAUAUAAAGUUCAAAAACAGGCAAAGAAAAUCUAUGCUUUUAAAAGUCAGAAUGGGGGUUAACAUGAGUGGGGUAAUUACUAAAAGGGAGCAAUGUGAGAUUUUUGGGGUAGCACUGGUAACGUUCUGUCUUAAUAUGCAAGCUGGUUCUAUUAGUGUUCACUUUGAGAAAAUUCAUCAGCAUGAUGAAUGUAAGUGACAUGUGCACUUUUCUCAGCAUAUAAGAGAGUUGAAUUUAAAAGUUAAAAAAAAUUAGCUUCAUCUCUAAAGAAACACAGUUCCAGGUAAAAAAAAAAAGGUAAGAGUAGCUCAAUGUAGUAAAAUUGAGCUAAAGAGCUCGAUUCAAGUUCAAGAUUUUACCAUUAAUUACCCAAUUUUGGCUUCUCUCCCUUCUGCUUCCAUAGCAUGAAGCCAAUGGUAAAGACAGAAUGACAUUAACAGUGUACUUUCAGCAAAAAAAAAAAAAAAGAUAUGCAAAUGUUUAUCACUGCUGCCUGAGAUAUUAAAUGAUACUGUACUUAUCAAGAAUUCUUUAAAGUUAUAAGGUUGUAUACAAGUGUAAGUAUAAACGUAAGUGGUAAUACAGUAUUACCAAUUCUGCUAUUUAAAGGACUUCCUGGGAGUUCCCACUGUGGCUCAGCAGUAACGAACCUGACUAGUAUCCAUGAGGAUGUAGGUUCAAUCUCUGGUUUCACUCAGUGGAUUAAGGAUCCGGUAUUGCCAGGAGCUGUGGUGCAGGUUUCAGACAUAGCUGGGACCCUGAAUUUCUGUGGCUGUGGGGUAGGCCGGCAGCUGCACCUCCACUUUGACUCCUAGCCUGGGAACUUCCAUAUGCAGCAGGCGCGGCCCUGAAAAAAAAAAGACUUCCUAACAAUUAAAGAUAUGCAUCAUUAUUCUCCUUACACCUUACACUCCUUCAUCCUCGGACUCAGCUCGUUCUCCCCUGAGCUCUCAGCUGUCUUGUGUUUCCCCUUCUUUUCUCUCUUGUUCCCACUCUAGCCACUUCCUACCCUGCCACUCCCCCUUCCCUCAGCCUGCUGGACUCCUAUCCACUCUUAAGUGCCCGGUCAAGGCACUUCUCCUGUGGGACCGCCCUCCAGGUCAUGGUGACCUUUCUUUCCUUUUCCAUUAGGUACCUCUGCCAUUUGUUCAUGACAGUUCCUGGAUCAGACUGUUAAAUAGCUAAUUUGCCUCUUAACUGUGAUUUUUUAACAAAUCACAUGCUCACGUCUUGCAUCCCCAGUGGGCUGUAUUUUUUCCUAAAGGCAGGGACCUGUGUGAUAUUUAUUUAAAUGGCCCUCAAUGCUCUGGACAUUGCAGGUAUUAAAUAAAUGCUCGCUUUACCGAUACUCUUUAUGUGGAUUCAGAAAAGCAGGAGUCCCUAAAAGUAGGGCAAAGGUGCCGACUGUGAUUUCUUCUUUGAGUUGAGUGGAUUCUGUUGGUGGCAUCUCAUCUCAAAAACUCUCUGUGUUAAAAACUCUCUGAUAUUCUUUUCUCUGAGAGCUCUCAGUCACUCUACACUUUAGAGAGUCUAGACCAGCACUUUCAAGUGGAAAUAUAAUGUGAGCCAUACAUGUAAUUUUACGUUUUCUUGUAGCCACACUACAAAAAAGUAAAAAGAAACAGUUAAAAUUGAAAACAUAUUUAAACUUAACCUUAUAGCUGCACUGCAAAAUAUUAUCAUUUCAAAAUAACCAAUAUAAAACAUUUUAAAAGGACAAUGUGAGUAAAAGAAUGUAUGUAUUUGUAAAACUAGGUCACUCUGAUGUACAGCAGAAAUUGACAGAACUUAUAAAUCCAAUAUAAUAAAAAAAAUUUUUUUUUUGUCUUUUGUCCUUUUAGAGCUGCACCCGCGGCAUAUGGAGGUUCCCAGGCUAGGGGUCGAAUCAGAGCUGUAGCCACUGGCCUACACCAUAGCUCACAGCAACGCCAGAUCCUUAAUCCACUGAGUGAAUCCAGGGAUCGAACCUGCAACCUCAUGGUUCCUAGUCAGAUUCAUUUCCACUCUAGUGGCUACAGUACUGAACAGCACAGGCUAGACUGGGAUAUGUGAUUUCAAAGCAUUCUGAAAAAAACCUAAGAUCAGGUAAACCCUAUAGGGAUAUGCAGUAAUCUUCCUAAAUUUUGCUCUUAAAAACGGGAAAAUAUGCUUCAGACAAUUGUAUUUUUAACAGCUAUUAAGUUCAACACCUAUCUCACAUCUAUUCAGUACUUAAAAUGGCAACUGAAUAAUCUAAGAUUCAGUAAGGUGCUAUAAUUAUUAAAAAUAAAUUUAUAAAGUAUUUUGUCAUUCAUUUUACAUCCUUUCCAGAGCACUCAGCCAGAGCCUUGCACACUGGAAGUGCUCAGGUUAUAUUCACAGUGAAUGAAUAAAUGAAUGAAAGAACAAAACAAGCAAGCAAGCUGGUAGAAAAAAAGUCUAGCCUUCCACCUCACAGCCAGUAAUUAAUGUGAUUACAUUAGUGUGGUAACAUUUGUUCACAAUCAUUUAUGGAUAAAGAAAUCAAAACUUCAAGUAUCACACUAAGAUGGAAUUUGGAUUUUAAGUCAGUCCUAUAAAAGGAGGGGAAACUCUGUUAAAUUAAAAUUAUAUCAGAAUUGGGCAUAAAAAUUAUUAAAAUAUCUACAGUACUCUACAUUUUAUAAAGCCAUUUGUAAUACAUUUCCUUCUUUAAAUGACACAUAUACACCAAAUAUUGCCUAAGCCAACUCUCAAAGUACAGUUUCUUUGCCUUAUUUGCCAAAAGAAAGUGGAUCUGGAAAUAUGUGCUUAAACCAAAUAACUCAUAGUAACAUAGCCUUAAAGAAGAUCUUUUAUUCAUGACAAGUCUUUUCCCCAUUCAUUUUUGCCAUACAAUGAAGCAAAUUUUAUAUCUGAUUGUAAGUCAUUUAAGAACUUCUUUAUUUUGGAAUCUUAUAACUAUCAUGUUACGUAUUGGGCAUCAAAAGAAUAAGUGACUAACGACACAAAGGGAAAAGGAUGAAAUGAAUCAUGGGUUCCAUCUGAACUUCAUCAGUUAAAAGGAUGAGUAGCAGAAUCUUUAAGGAAAAAAAGAGAUGAGCUUAAAUUAGUCAUGGUCUUUUGAGGGGAAAAAGGUAAAACUAUUUUACUUGCUUGAUCUCAGAUCUAGAAUCUAAAAGAUAAGGGGCAGUGGAGAAUAAAAUAUUCAGACUUCAAAGGUU
ensembl:lncRNA